rnacentral:rRNA from 1 species
GGAGCUUGCUCCUGGAUUCAGCGGCGGACGGGUGAGUAAUGCCUAGGAAUCUGCCUGGUAGUGGGGGAUAACGUCCGGAAAACGGGCGCUAAUACCGCAUACGUCCUGAGGGAGAAAGUGGGGGAUCUUCGGGCCUCACGCUAUCAGAUGAGCCUAGGUCGGAUUAGCUAGUUGGUGGGGUAAAGGCCUACCAAGGCGACGAUCCGUAACUGGUCUGAGAGGAUGAUCAGUCACACUGGAACUGAGACACGGUCCAGACUCCUACGGGAGGCAGCAGUGGGGAAUAUUGGACAAUGGGCGAAAGCCUGAUCCAGCCAUGCCGCGUGUGUGAAGAAGGUCUUCGGAUUGUAAAGCACUUUAAGUUGGGAGGAAGGGCAGUAAGUUAAUACCUUGCUGUUUUGACGUUACCAACAGAAUAAGCACCGGCUAACUUCGUGCCAGCAGCCGCGGUAAUACGAAGGGUGCAAGCGUUAAUCGGAAUUACUGGGCGUAAAGCGCGCGUAGGCGGUUCAGCAAGUUGGAUGUGAAAUCCCCGGGCUCAACCUGGGAACUGCAUCCAAAACUACUGAGCUAGAGUACGGUAGAGGGUGGUGGAAUUUCCUGUGUAGCGGUGAAAUGCGUAGAUAUAGGAAGGAACACCAGUGGCGAAG